GACGAACGCUGGCGGCGUGCUUAACACAUGCAAGUCGAACGGGAGUAUAUGAGGAGCUUGCUUUGAGUAUACUUUAGUGGCGGACGGGUGAGUAACGCGUGAGGAGCUGUCUUUAACAGGGGGGACAACAGGUGGAAACGUCUGCUAAUACCCCAUAAGCCUAAGGGUAAAAGGAGCAAUCCGGUUAAGGAGGUACUCGCGUCCUAUCAGCUAGUAGGUGAGGUAACGGCUCACCUAGGCGAAGACGGGUAGCCGGCCUGAGAGGGCGAACGGCCACACUGGAACUGAGACACGGUCCAGACUCCUACGGGAGGCAG
rnacentral:rRNA from 1 species